GAUGAACGCUGGCGGCGUGCCUAAUACAUGCAAGUCGAGCGAACAGACGAGGAGCUUGCUCCUCUGACGUUAGCGGCGGACGGGUGAGUAACACGUGGAUAACCUACCUAUAAGACUGGGAUAACUUCGGGAAACCGGAGCUAAUACCGGAUAAUAUAUUGCACCGCAUGGUUCAAUAGUGAAAGACGGUUUUGCUGUCACUUAUAGAUGGAUCCGCGCCGCAUUAGCUAGUUGGUAAGGUAACGGCUUACCAAGGCAACGAUGCGUAGCCGACCUGAGAGGGUGAUCGGCCACACUGGAACUGAGACACGGUCCAGACUCCUACGGGAGGCAGCAGUAGGGAAUCUUCCGCAAUGGGCGAGAGCCUGACGGAGCAACGCCGCGUGAGUGAUGAAGGUCUUCGGAUCGUAAAACUCUGUUAUUAGGGAAGAACAAAUGUGUAAGUAACUAUGCACGUCUUGACGGUACCUAAUCAGAAAGCCACGGCUAACUACGUG
rnacentral:rRNA from 1 species